rnacentral:lncRNA from 1 species
AUCAAUAUCGAUAUCAAAAUUAAAGUAAUCAUAAGUUCAUUCUUGUCUCAGUUUCAAGCAGAUCAUGAAUUCCAAUUCAAAUCAUCUCCCCCUUAGGUUCAAGGGGAGAAGGACAGUGCGAGAAACCAAAUUUAGUGUUAUUUAUCAUGUCUAAACGCUAAUACAAAUAUCGAAAAAUGUGAAUACAGAGCUAAAAUGCUGUGAAGGGAAAGGUGAUUUACUUAGGAAACUGGCCAAUUGCUAUCAACUGGUAUCGGUACAACCACGAUU